GCCGCGGUGGUGGAACUGGUAGACACGCUAGCCUUAGGAGCUAGUCUUCUCACGGAGGUGCGAGUUCGAGUCUCGCCCGCGGCA
rnacentral:tRNA from 1 species